GAGAGAUUAAACAAGAGUUGCUAAAUCCUGCGCCUGAAGAUAAACCGUCAGAUCGUU
rnacentral:tRNA from 1 species